rnacentral:rRNA from 1 species
GAUGAACGCUGGCGGCGUGCCUAAUACAUGCCAGUCGAGCGAACGGACGAGAAGCUUGCUUCUCUGAUGUUAGCGGCGGACAGGUGAGUAACACGUGGAUAACCUACCUAUAAGACUGGGAUAACUUCGGGAAACCGUAGCUAAUACCGGAUAAUAUUUUGAACCGCAUGGUUCAAGAGUGAAAGACGGUCUUGCUGUCACUUAUAGAUGGAUCCGCGCUGCAUUAGCUAGUUGGUAAGGUAACGGCUUACCAAGGCAACGAUGCAUAGCCGACCUGAGAGGGUGAUCGGCCACACUGGAACUGAGACACGGUCCAGACUCCUACGGGAGGCAGCAGUAGGGAAUCUUCCGCAAUGGGCGAAAGCCUGACGGAGCAACGCCGCGUGAGUGAUGAAGGUCUUCGGAUCGUAAAACUCUGUUAUUAGGGAAGAACAUAUGUGUAAGUAACUGUGCACAUCUUGACGGUACCUAAUCAGAAAGCCACGGCUAACUACGUG